AGCGCACUUCGGUGCGUGGAAAGUGGCAGACGGGUUAGUAACGCGUGGGAACGUACCUAUCGGUUCGGAAUAGCUCAGGGAAACUUGAAUUAAAACCGGAUACGCCCCCCAUUUAGAGAUAUUUGGGGGGGAAAGUUUACGCCGAUAGAUCGGCCCGCGUUAGAUUAGCUUGUUGGUGCGGUAAAAGCGCACCAAGGCUACGAUCUAUAGCUGGUCUGAGAGGAUGAUCAGCAACACUGGGACUGAGACACGGCCCAGACUCCUACGGGAGGCAGCAGUGGGGAAUAUUGGACAAUGGGCGCAAGCCUGAUCCAGCCAUGCCGCGUGGAUGAAGAAGGCCCUAGGGUUGUAAAAUCCUUUCAACGGUGAAGAUAAUGACGGUAACCGUAGAAGAAGCCCCGGCUAAUUUCGUGCCAGCAGCCGCGGUAAUACGAAAGGGGCUAGCGUUGUUCGGAAUUACUGGGCGUAAAGCGCACGUAGGCGGCAAUGUAAGUUGGGGGUGAAAUCCCGGGGCUCAACCCCGGAACUGCCUCCAAAACUACAUAGCUAGAGGAUGUGAGAGGUUGGCGGAAUUCCGAGUGUAGAGGUGAAAUUCGUAGAUAUUCGGAAGAACACCAGUGGCGAAGGCGGCCAACUGGCACAUUACUGACGCUGAGGUGCGAAAGCGUGGGGAGCGAACAGGAUUAGAUACCCUGGUAGUCCACGCCGUAAACGAUGAGGGCUAGUUGUCGGGCAGCAUGCUGUUCGGUGACGCAGCUAACGCAUUAAGCCCUCCGCCUGGGGAGUACGGUCGCAAGAUUAAAACUCAAAGGAAUUGACGGGGGC
rnacentral:rRNA from 1 species